rnacentral:rRNA from 1 species
AGUUUGAUAUUUCAGGGCUCUAUAAAUAUCUUGAUGGCUACUCUGGUAAAGAGACAGACAAAAUCAAUAAGAUUCUCGUUAAGACUGUACUGUGUGUUGACGACAAAAUUGCUGAAAUCUUGGCGGCGGGGUGGUACUGCCCUCCGCGUCCCAAUGUUUUUGAUGAUCUUCCGAGGUUAAAUUGAUGGUUCUCUUCUUGAAUGCUGUUAAAGAAUGAUAAUCCAAAGUAUUUCUAGUUACCAUCUUUGUUACUGGUCCUCUUCCUCGAAUGCUGUUAAAGAAUGAUAAUCCAAAGUCUUUCUAGUUGCUAUCUUUGUUGCUGGUCCUCUUCCUCGAAUGCUGUUAAAGAAUGAUAAUCCAAAGUAUUUCUAGUUAGUAUCUUUGUUACUGACGCUGCUACUACAGAAUAUUGCUCAGAAGUCUUGCUGAUGCUGCUUGUAUGGAAUGCCACCGUGUAGAUGCUGCUCGUAUGGAAUGCCACCGUGUAGAAGCUGCUCGUAUGGAAUGCCGCUGUGUAGAUGCUGGUCGUAUGGAAUGCCGCCGUGUAGAUGCUGCUGCAGAAUCAUACUUGUGAAAUCGUUGUGAAUAUUAUGAUGUUACUGGACAAAUAUUGUUUAGGUUCUUACUGCUACCGCUUGAACAGCUUAUUGUCAGCUUGAGCACAUUGCUGUAUUACAUUGUUUUCGGUGAAACAUGUGGGGUGGUAUGCUACCUCGUCAUUAGUUUUAUUGAUAUGCCACUUGCAUUUUGUAGUUCAAUAACAGCAAUGGAAAUUUCAUGAAAUCUACUUUUGUGACG